rnacentral:rRNA from 1 species
GGUGAACCUGCGGAAGGAUCAUUAACGAAACUUCAAAGUCGACCGACAGUUGUUGCUGGUGGAUUCAUUCACAUGUGCACGCUGUUGGUCGCAAAUCCACACACACCUGUGCAUCUAUGACUCGAUGUUGGAAACGACGGAGAGUAACUUUUACACACUCUUGUAUGUAACGGAAUGUCUUUUUGUGCAAUAAUGUACAAUAUAAACAACUUUCAACAACGGAUCUCUUGGCUCUCGCAUCGAUGAAGAACGCAGCGAAAUGCGAUAAGUAAUGUGAAUUGCAGAAUUCAGUGAAUCAUCGAAUCUUUGAACGCACCUUGCACCCUUUGGUAUUCCGAAGGGUACGCCCGUUUGAGCGUCAUUGUAAUCUCACUUCAACUACUUUAUUGUUGUUUGAAUGUGGACUUGGAUGUUGCCGUGUCAUUACGGCUCGUCUCAAAUGCCUGAGUGUACCCUGUUUUGCAGCGUAUCCAGUGUAAUAAACAUUUCACUAGAGUUGGUCGAAAGACCACGUUUGUAAUUUGGGCUCUAUGCUUCAAACCGUCUGCUUGCGGACAAUCUUUGACAAUUUGACCUCAAAUCGGGUGGGACUACCCGCUGAACUUAAGCAUAUCAAUAAGCGGAGGAAAAGAAACUAACAAGGAUUCCCCUAGUAACGAGUGAAACAGUACGUGAAAUUGUUGAAAGGGAAGCGUUUGAAGUCAGUCGCAUCUGUUGGGGUUCAGCCUGGCUUUUGCCUGGUGUAUUUCCUUUCCGAUGGGUCAGCAUCAGUUUCGACCGAGGGAAAAAGACAUUUGGAAUGUGGCUGUCUUCGGGCAGUGUUAUAGCCUUGUGUUGUAUGUCUCGGUUGGGACUGAGGAUUGCAGCGCGCCUUAUGGCCGGGGGUCGCUCCUCUCGACACGCGCUUAGGAUGCUGGCAUAAUGGCUUUAAGCGACCCGUCUUGAAACACGGACCAAGGAGUCUAACAUGUGCGCGAGUGUUUGGGUGUAAAACCCGAGCGCGAAAUGAAAGUGAAAGGUCGGGAUCAUUCAUUUGUGCACCGACGCCCGGAGCAGACCUUCUGUGACGCAUCCGCGGUAGAGCGUAUAUGUUGGGACCCGAAAGAUGGUGAACUAUGCCUGAAUAGGGUGAAGCCAGAGGAAACUCUGGGGAGGCUCGUAGCGAUUCUGACGUGCAAUCGAUCGUCAAAUUUGGGUAUAGGGGCGAAAGACUAAUCGAACCAUCUAGUAGCUGGUCUGCG